rnacentral:tRNA from 1 species
GCGGGCGUGAUGGAAUUGGCAAACAUGCCGGCUUUAGGUGCCGGUGGGCGCAAGCCCUUGGGGGUUCGAGUCCCUCCGCCCGCA